GUACACGCUUCGGCGGUACAUAUACUAAAAUUGGAACGAUACAGAGAAGAUUAGCAUGGCCCCUGCGCAAGGAUGACACGCAAAAGUGGCCGAGCGGUUCUAGGCGCUU